GACGAACGCUUGCGGCGUGCUUAACACAUGCAAGUCGAACGGAAAGGCCCUGCUUGCAGGGUACUCGAGUGGCGAACGGGUGAGUAACACGUGGGUGAUCUGCCCUGCACUUCGGGAUAAGCCUGGGAAACUGGGUCUAAUACCGGAUAGGAGCCAUUUUUAGUGUGAUGGUUGGAAAGUUUUUUCGGUGUAGGAUGAGCUCGCGGCCUAUCAGCUUGUUGGUGGGGUAAUGGCCUACCAAGGCGGCGACGGGUAGCCGGCCUGAGAGGGUGGACGGCCACAUUGGGACUGAGAUACGGCCCAGACUCCUACGGGAGGCAGCAGUGGGGAAUAUUGCACAAUGGGCGCAAGCCUGAUGCAGCGACGCCGCGUGGGGGAUGACGGCCUUCGGGUUGUAAACUCCUUUCGCUAGGGACGAAGCUUUUUGUGACGGUACCUAGAUAAGAAGCACCGGCUAACUACGUG
rnacentral:rRNA from 1 species